rnacentral:lncRNA from 1 species
AUCCAAAAGAGGAUCAAAAACUUCAUCUGGCACCAGUUAGACCAGUUCCUGGUCCACUACAUCAAGAAACUGGAAGUGCUGCUGAUGGGCAGUGAAUCUGACUGUGCAGGGACCGCUCGCCGUGCCUCCUCCAAGAACCAAGAACCGCAACGCUGUUUCGGGAAGAGCAGCCCAGCUGCCGUCAGAGUCAGCAAUCCCAAUGCUGGGCUGCCCCGCCAAGAAAAUG